GCGUUUCCUUUUAUUAUAUUAAAAAGGAUUAAAUAUGUUUUUAGUCCCUUAAGUUUUACUGAUUUUUGGUUUUAGUUCCUGCAUGAAACAUUGAUGACAUUUGAUCCUCCUAGUAUAGAAACAUAUAUGUUUAGUUCUUAAUUUUAGACGGCGUUAAUUUUUUGGUUAGGUGGCUAACGACACUACCACGUCUCACUGUGCAUUCUCUGUCACGUAAUUUGUUUUUUAACAUUUGAAUUACUCUUUUUUGGUUUUUCAUCUGCCCCUUGUGCUUCCUCCGCAACCCCUUUCCCCUCUCCAUCGCCGACACCAACCUUCCUGUCAGAGUUCAAAUUAGGAAGUGUUUUAGGGUUUAAUAGGUUGAUUCAAACGGUGCCCCAAUCUCCUCCUUUAUCUGGAAGCAUUGAUUUUGGGGUUCAAUCACCGCAACCCGUUUUGCCCGAGGAACGAAUCUGUUGCCAUUCCUGCUAGUUCUUGGUACGCUUGUUGUGUUAAGGGUUGUGUUUAACGGCCAGAAGAAUGUUGUUCUGAAAUUUGUUGUAUGUUCUUUUAGGUACAACUUUAACAAGGUUGCUCAAUAUAAAUAAUUGACACUGGAUCAAAGAAAGAAAACUGCAGAUGGUUUUGUCUCUGCGUGCCUCACUCCCCUAAAUUUCAGAAACCAAUGGUCCUCGGCGGCGAAGCCACCACCUACACUCGUCUUCCGCUCAAGCACGACUAUUCCUCUUCUUCCCCUCUCUCGCCUCCCGAAAUCAAAACGAGAUUUGGUGCUCCUUAGGACACAGAAACGCGAAUCGAAAGC
rnacentral:lncRNA from 1 species